rnacentral:rRNA from 1 species
CCUACGGGUGACUGCAGUGAGGAAUAUUGGUCAAUGGGCGCUAGCCUGAACCAGCCAAGUAGCGUGAAGGAUGACUGCCCUAUGGGUUGUAAACUUCUUUUAUAUGGGAAUAAAGUGCAGUAUGUAUACUGCUUUGCAUGUACCUUAUGAAUAAGGAUCGGCUAACUCGGUGCCAGCAGCCGCGGUAAUACGGAGGAUCCGAGCGUUAUCCGGAUUUAUUGGGUUUAAAGGGAGCGUAGGCGGUUUGUUAAGUCAGUUGUGAAAGUUUGCGGCUCAACCGUAAAAUUGCAGUUGAUACUGGCAGCCUUGAGUACAGUAGAGGUAGGCGGAAUUCGUUGUGUAGCGGUGAAAUGCUUAGAUAUCACGAAGAACUCCGAUUGCGAAGGCAGCCUGCUGGACUGUAACUGACGCGGAUGCUCGAAAGUGUGGGUAUCAAACAGGAUUAGAUACCCGUGUAGUC